rnacentral:rRNA from 1 species
GCGAUCAUACCAGCACUAAUGCACCGGAUCCCAUCAGAACUCUGAAGUAAAGCGUGCUUGGGCGAGAGCAGUACUAGGAUGGGUGACCCUCUGGGAAGUCCUCGUGUUGCACUU